rnacentral:misc_RNA from 1 species
UUAACUAUUAUAUAGUACUCAGACAGUAUAGACAAACAGAGUUUAGGUCCUCUGGCAAGCGCUCGCCGGCCGGAGCCAGCAGCCCGAGGGCAGGCCUGCCAAAGCAACAAAGGUAUGUAUACACGGUUUGGAAUUACCCAUUUCAAGAAACGGGGCGUUCUUUAAUGAUCCUUCCGCAGGUUCACCUACGGAAA